AUUGAACGCUGGCGGCAUGCCUUACACAUGCAAGUCGAACGGUAACAGGUCUUCGGAUGCUGACGAGUGGCGAACGGGUGAGUAAUACAUCGGAACGUGCCUAGUAGUGGGGGAUAACUACUCGAAAGAGUGGCUAAUACCGCAUGAGAUCUACGGAUGAAAGCAGGGGAUCGCAAGACCUUGUGCUAUUAGAGCGGCCGAUGGCAGAUUAGGUAGUUGGUGGGAUAAAAGCUUACCAAGCCGACGAUCGGUAGCUGGUCUGAGAGGACGACCAGACACACUGGGACUGAGACACGGCCCAGACUCCUACGGGGGGCAGCAGUGGGGAAUUUUGGACAAUGGGCGCAAGCCUGAUCCAGCAAUGCCGCGUGCAGGAUGAAGGCCUUCGGGUUGUAAACUGCUUUUGUACGGAACGAAAAGCCCUGGGUUAAUACCCUGGGGUCAUGACGGUACCGUAAGAAUAAGCACCGGCUAACUACGUGCCAGCCGCCGCGGUAACAC
rnacentral:rRNA from 1 species